rnacentral:rRNA from 1 species
UUGUACAGGCAAAUCCGUAUAACAAUACUCCGAGAACUGAAAGGCUUUUUGAAGUCUUCGGAUGGAUAGAAGAACCCCUGAUGCCGUCGAGCCAAGAAAAGUUUCUAAGUUUAGCUAAUGUUGCCCGUACCGUAAACCGACACAGGUGGGUGGGAUGAGUAUUCUAAGGCGCGUGGAAGAACUCUCUUUAAGGAACUCUGCAAAAUAGCACCGUAUCUUCGGUAUAAGGUGUGGUUAGCUUUGUAUUAGGAUUUACUCCGAAAGCAAGGAAACUUACAACAAAGAGUCCCUCCCGACUGUUUACCAAAAACACAGCACUCUGCUAACUCGUAAGAGGAUGUAUAGGGUGUGACGCCUGCCCGGUGCUCGAAGGUUAAUUGAUGGGGUUAGCAUUAGCGAAGCUCUUGAUCGAAGCCCGAGUAAACGGCGGCCGUAACUAUAACGGUCCUAAGGUAGCGAAAUUCCUUGUCGGUUAAAUACCGACCUGCAUGAAUGGCGUAACGAGAUGGGAGCUGUCUCAAAGAGGGAUCCAGUGAAAUUGUAGUGGAGGUGAAAAUUCCUCCUACCCGCGGCAAGACGGAAAGACCCCGUGGACCUUUACUACAGCUUGACACUGCUACUUGGAUAAGAAUGUGCAGGAUAGGUGGGAGGCUUUGAGUAUAUGACGCCAGUUGUAUAUGAGCCAUUGUUGAGAUACCACUCUUUCUUAUUUGGGUAGCUAACCAGCUUGAGUUAUCCUCAAGUGGGACAAUGUCUGGUGGGUAGUUUGACUGGGGCGGUCGCCUCCCAAAUAAUAACGGAGGCUUACAAAGGUUGGCUCAGAACGGUUGGAAAUCGUUCGUAGAGUAUAAAGGUAUAAGCCAGCUUAACUGCAAGACAUACAAGUCAAGCAGAGACGAAAGUCGGUCUUAGUGAUCCGGUGGUUCUGUGUGGAAGGGCCAUCGCUCAAAGGAUAAAAGGUACCCCGGGGAUAACAGGCUGAUCUCCCCCAAGAGCUCACAUCGACGGGGAGGUUUGGCACCUCGAUGUCGGCUCAUCGCAUCCUGGGGCUGGAGCAGGUCCCAAGGGUAUGGCUGUUCGCCAUUUAAAGCGGUACGCGAGCUGGGUUCAGAACGUCGUGAGACAGUUCGGUCCCUAUCUGCCGUGGGCGUAAGAAGAUUGAAGAGAUUUGACCCUAGUACGAGAGGACCGGGUUGAACAAACCACUGGUGUAGCUGUUGUUCUGCCAAGAGCAUCGCAGCGUAGCUAAGUUUGGAAAGGAUAAACGCUGAAAGCAUCUAAGCGUGAAGCCAACUCUAAGAUGAAUCUUCUCUAAGCUCUCUAGAAGACUACUAGUUUGAUAGGCUGGGUGUGUAAUGGAUGAAAGUCCUUUAGCUGACCAGUACUAAUAGAGCGUUUGGCUUAUCUUU